rnacentral:rRNA from 1 species
CCUACGGGUGGCAGCAGUGAGGAAUAUUGGUCAAUGGCCGGGAGGCUGAACCCGCCAAGUCGCGUGAGGGAAGACUGCCCUACGGGUUGUAAACCUCUUUUGUAAGGGAGCAAGGUGCAGGUCGGGACCUGCUUUGAGAGUACCUUAUGAAAAAGCAUCUGCUAACUCCGUGCCAGCAGCCGCGGUCAUACGGAGGAUGCGAGCGUUAUCCGGAUUUAUUGGGUUUAAGGGGUGCGCAGGCGGAGGCACAAGUCAGAGGUAAAAUCGCGGGGCUAAACCCCGCUGCGCCUUUGAAACUGUGGCCCUUGAGUGCGCGAAGGGUAGGCGGAAUGCGUGGUGUAGCGGUGAAAUGCAUAGAUAUCACGCAGAACUCCGAUCGCGAAGGCAGCCUACCGGCGCGCAACUGACGCUCAUGCACGAAAGCGUGGGUAUCGAACAGGAUUAGAUACCCUGGUAGUC